CGGUAAUUCCAGCUCCAAUAGCGUAUACUAAAGUUGUUGCAGUUAAAAAGCUCGUAGUUGGAUUUCUGCGGGGACGGAGCGGCCGGACGCAACUUGCGUCUCGAGCUAGCGCUUUCCCCACAUCCUGCCGCGAACCGUGCUACCAUUAGCUUGGUGGCGCUGGGGAUCGGCUCGAUUACUUUGAGAAAAAUAGAGUGUUCAAAGCAGGCCACACGCCUUGAAUAAGUUAGCAUGGAAUAAUGACUAAGGACUUCGGUUCUAUUUUGUUGGUGUUCGGGACUGAAGUAAUGAUUGAUAGGGACAGUUGGGGCGGUCUGUAUUCCAAAGCGAGAGGUGAAAUUCUUAGACCUUCGGAAGACAAACAGCUGCGAAAGCGUUCCGCAAGGAUGUUCCCUUUGAUCAAGAACGAAAGUUGGGGGAUCGAAGACGAUCAGAUACCGUCGUAGUCUCAACUAUAAACUAUACCAGCUAGGGAUCGGCCAACGUUAAACUUUAUCGACUUGGUCGGCACCUUAUGAGAAAUCAAAGCAUCUGGGUUCCGGGGGGAGUAUGGUCGUAAGGCUGAAACUUAAAGGAAUUGACGGAAGGGCACCACCAGGCGUGGAGCCUGUGGCUUAAUUUGACUCAACACGGGAAAACUUACCAGGUCCAGACAUAGGAAGGAUUGACAGAUUGAUAGCUCUUUCUUGAUUCUGUGGGUGGUGGUGCAUGGCCGUUUUUAGUCGGUGAAGUGAUUUGUCUGCUCAAUUGCGUUAACGGACGAGACCCCAGCCUGCUAAAUAGCGCGGCCGAGCUUUGCUCGGUACGAGCUUCUUAGAGGGACCAUGAUGCGCGAUAGCACAAGGAAGUUUGGGGCAACAACAGGUCUGUGAUGCCCUUAGAUGUUCUGGGCCGCACACGGGCUACACUGGCGCCUGCAACGAGCAUAUCAGCUGGCCCGAGAGGGUCUUGGCUAAUCUUUGGAACCGGCGCCGUGCUUGGGAUUGACCAUUGCAAUUGUUGGUCAUGCAACGAGGAAUGCCUUGUAAACGCGAGUCAUCAGCUCGCAUUGAAUACGUCCCUGCCCCUUGUACACACCGCCC
rnacentral:rRNA from 1 species